AAUAAGUACAACUAUUAAUUUCUGUAUACAACUUUAAUCGUCCAUCUUAUUUUAAAAUUUUUUAAUGAUUAGUAUUUUUAUUGAUAUUAGAUUAUAAAAUAUGAAUAGUACUUUAUGCGUGACUUAUGUUUUUCAGUUGAGCACGGAAACUUAUGGGUUGCGCUUAUU
rnacentral:pre_miRNA from 1 species